rnacentral:rRNA from 1 species
AUUGAACGCUGGCGGCAGGCCUAACACAUGCAAGUCGAGCGGAUGAAGGGAGCUUGCUCCUGGAUUCAGCGGCGGACGGGUGAGUAAUGCCUAGGAAUCUGCCUGGUCGUGGGGGAUAACGUCCGGAAACGGGCGCUAAUACCGCAUACGUCCUGAGGGAGAAAGUGGGGGAUCUUCGGACCUCACGCUAUCAGGUGAGCCUAGGUCGGAUUAGCUAGUUGGUGGGGUAAAGGCCUACCAAGGCGACGAUCCGUAACUGGUCUGAGAGGAUGAUCAGUCACACUGGAACUGAGACACGGUCCAGACUCCUACGGGAGGCAGCGGUGGGGAAUAUUAGACAAUGGGCGAAAGCCGGAUCCAGCCAUGCCGCGUGUGUGAAGAAGGUCUUCGGAUUGUAAAGCACUUUAAGUUGGGAGGAAGGGCAGUAAGUUAAUCCCUUGCUGUUUUGACGUUACCAACAGAAUAAGCACCGGCUAACUUCGUG